rnacentral:rRNA from 1 species
GAUGAACGCUAGCGACAGGCUUAACACAUGCAAGUCGAGGGGCAGUCGGGGCGUGGCAACACGCCGCCGGCGACCGGCGCACUGGUGAGUAACACGUAUGCAACCUGCCCAUCGGACGGGGACAACAUCCCGAAAGGGGUGCUAAUACCGGAUACGAAGGAGCUAUCGCAUGGUGGCUCCUUGAAAGAUGGCCUCUAUUUAUAAGCUAUCGCUGAAGGAUGGGCCUGCGUCCGAUUAGCUGGUUGGUGGGGUAACGGCCUACCAAGGCGACGAUCGGUAGCCAGUCUGAGAGGAUGAACGGCCACAUUGGGACUGAGACACGGCCCAGACUCC